rnacentral:tRNA from 1 species
AGAAAGAAUAGUGGAACUGCUAAUUCCAUAUAUCCAUAGUUAACAAUAUGGCUUUCUU